rnacentral:rRNA from 1 species
UACGAAGGGGGCUAGCGUUGUUCGGAAUUACUGGGCGUAAAGCGCGCGCAGGCGGUCUUUCAAGUCAGUGGUGAAAGCCCGGAGCUCAACUCCGGAAAUGCCAUUGAAACUGUCAGACUUGAGGAUGAGAGAGGUGAGUGGAAUUCCCAGUGUAGAGGUGAAAUUCGUAGAUAUUGGGAAGAACACCGGUGGCGAAGGCGGCUCACUGGCUCAUAUCUGACGCUCAGGCGCGACAGCGUGGGGAUCAAACAGG